rnacentral:rRNA from 1 species
AUUGAACGCUAGCGGGAUGCUUUACACAUGCAAGUCGAACGCGUGGCGGAGGGGUGAGUAAUAUAUCGGAACGCGCCCAGUAGCGGGGGAUAACUACUCGAAAGUGUGGCUAAUACCGCAAUCUCUUGGAGCGGCCGAUAUCGGAUUAGCUAGGUGGUGGGGAAGAGGCUCACAAAGGCAACGCUCCGUAGCUGGUGUGAGAGGAAGACCGGCCACACUGGGACUGAGACACGGCCCAGACUCCUACGGGAGGCAGCAGUGGGGAAUUUUGGACAAUGGGGGAAACCCUGAUCCAGCCAUCCCGCGUGUAUGAGAAGGCCUUCGGGUUGUAAAGUACUUUUAGCAGAGACGCGGUAUCUGCAGAAUAAGCACCGGCUAACUACGUGCCAGCAGCCGCGGUAAUAC